GACGAACGCUGGCGGCGUGCCUAACACAUGCAAGUCGAACGGAGUUGUUCCUUCGGGGACAACUUAGUGGCGAACGGGUGAGUAACGCGUGAGGAACCUGCCUUUCAGUGGGGGACAACAGUUGGAAACGACUGCUAAUACCGCAUAACAUGUACGGAUCGCAUGGUCUGUACAUCAAAGCUUUAUGUGCUGAAAGAUGGCCUCGCGUCUGAUUAGAUAGUUGGUGAGGUAACGGCUCACCAAGUCGACGAUCAGUAGCCGGUCUGAGAGGAUGAACGGCCACAUUGGGACUGAGAUACGGCCCAG
rnacentral:rRNA from 1 species